rnacentral:rRNA from 1 species
CCUACGGGGCGCACCAGUGGGGAAUAUUGCACAAUGGGCACAAGCCUGAUGCAGCCAUGCCGCGUGUAUGAAGAAGGCCUUCGGGUUGUAAAGCACUUUCAGCGGGGAGGAAGGCGAUAAGGUUAAUAGCCUUGUCGAUUGACGUUACCCGCAGAAGAAGCACCGGCUAACUCCGUGCCAGCAACCGCGGUAAUACGGAGGGUGCAAGCGCUAAUCGGAAUUACUGGGCGUAAAGCGCACGCAGGCGGUCUGUCAAGUCGGAUGCGAAAUCCCCGGGCUCAACCUGGGAACUGCAUUCGAAACUGGCAGGCUAGAGCCUUGUAGAGGGGGGUAGAAUUCCAGGUGUAGCGGUGAAAUGCGUAGAGAUCUGGAGGAAUACCGGUGGCGAAGGCGGCCCCCUGGACAAAGACUGACGCUCAGGUGCGAAAGCGUGGGGAGCAAACAGGAUUAGAUACCCCAGUAGUC